rnacentral:sRNA from 1 species
GCUGGGUGUGGUGGUGCACACCUGUAAUCCCAGCAUCUUGGGAGGCUAAGGCAGAAGGAUCUUGAGUUCAAAGCCAGCCUCAAAAGCUUAGCAAGGCCCUAAGCAACUCAGUGAGACCCUGUCUCUA